rnacentral:rRNA from 1 species
UACGUAGGGUGCAAGCGUUGUCCGGAAUUAUUGGGCGUAAAGAGCUCGUAGGCGGUGUGUCGCGUCGGCCGUGAAAACCUGCAGCUUAACUGUGGGCUUGCGGUCGAUACGGGCAUCACUGGAGUUCGGCAGGGGAGACUGGAAUUCCUGGUGUAGCGGUGAAAUGCGCAGAUAAUCAGGAAGAACACCAAUGGCGAAAGCAGCUCUCUGGGACGGUACUGACGCUGAGACGCGAAAGCGUGGGGAGCGAACAGG